AGGGCUGUGGCUCAGCGGCAGAACAUCUUCUUUGUGCACAGAGGAUCCCAGGUUCAAUCCCUCGCAGUUUCU